AGAGGCUUAAAUUGCACUAUGAGCCAUGACAGCUGGCAAAAACAUGCCAGAAGGACAACUUUAUCAAAUCUAGGGAGCUCAAGAAAAGCUUAGUGUAGUCAAUAAAAAAUAUAAAAGUUGAAGAGUAUAGAGACAAAAGAAUAAGAGAAAAAACAAAAUGAAUGAAAAAGGAGAGGAGGACUACUAAGCCUCCAAAUGCCUGUGCUGGGAUUGCAUGUGGCUCCAGGCAGACGAUUGGUCUUAGCUGCAGGCCUGAGGAAGUCCCACUUUUGAAACUGAAGCCAAUAUGCUUUACCCAUGAGAAGAAAAGGGAGAGGAGGGGAGAAAGCUGUGGCUGUGCCUUGUUUUAAUAACAAAACUUUCUGAAUAAUUAAAAUGUUUUAUUUGGAAGAAAAAGCUGACAGGUAGCAAACCUCAUACAGCAUUUAUGAAUAUGUACAUAAUAGAUGCCAAACAGCAAAAACCACUUCAGUAAUUACUGUGCAUAGUAUUUGAAUACUAUGUGCAUAAAAGAGAAAAAAAGCACAGAAAAUUCAUAUUUAUUCAAAUACAUUCAUAAUAAAAAUCUUAAGAAUCUUUUAACCUAACUGUACUUGACUACUUUUUAAA
rnacentral:lncRNA from 1 species